GUUUACUGCAACUUCUUGUUCCUUCACAUGUUACAGGCCCCUUCUCUGAAGAUGCCUCUGGAUCUUGGUAAAGAGGAGGGUGGUCUGUACAAAUUUGCUUGGGUACCCCCUUCAUCUUCUUCUGUUAAUUGUUGUUCUUCUACUUCUGUAUGCUCCAUUAAAGAUUCUUGUACUCAUGUUUGUUCUUCUGACCUUAAUUCUGUUGCUUUACAUUCCAAUGUAAAUAGCUCCAUUUGUCAUAAUAAAACGGAUGCUAAUGACAUGAACUACAUUUGGCAUUUAAGACUGGCUCACAUUCCUUUUGCAAGCAUGAAACACAUUUCUGCUUUAUCUUUUCCUUUUGCUUCCAAACAACCAUUUCCCUGUUCUGUUUGUCCCAUGGCUAUGCAAACUAGACUUCCUUUUCCUGAUAGUUCAAUCAGUACCUGUAGACCUUUCCAACUUUUUCAUGUAGACACUUGGGGCCGGCACACUAGACUUCCUUUUUCUGACAGUUCAAUCAGUACCUGUAGACCUUUCCAACUUAUUCAUUUAGACUCUUGGGGCCCUUAUCACACACCCACCUCUUCUGGCUCUAGAUAUUUUUUUACCAUAGUUGAUGAUUUUUCUAGAGCAACCUGGACACAUUUACUGGGGUGUAAAAGUAAUGCUUUCAGCCUUCUUAAGUCCUUUUUGAGUAUUGUCAAAACUCAAUUUAAUGCUACUGUACAAACUGUCAGAAGUGAUAAUGCAUUGGAAUUGGGGUCUAGUCUUACUGGUGUUUCUUUCUUCAACCAACAGGGCAUUAUUCAUCAAACUACUUGUCCCCAUACCCCUCAACAAAAUGAUGUUGUAGAAAGAAAACAUAGGACCCUCCUUGAAGCAUGUAGAGCUUUACUUUUUCAAUCAAAAUUAC
rnacentral:lncRNA from 1 species